rnacentral:rRNA from 1 species
GAUGAACGCUGGCGGCGUGCCUAAUACAUGCAAGUCGAGCGAACAGACGAGGAGCUUGCUCCUCUGACGUUAGCGGCGGACGGGUGAGUAACACGUGGAUAACCUACCUAUAAGACUGGGAUAACUUCGGGAAACCGGAGCUAAUACCGGAUAAUAUAUUGAACCGCAUGGUUCAAUAGUGAAAGACGGUUUUGCUGUCACUUAUAGAUGGAUCCGCGCCGCAUUAGCUAGUUGGUAAGGUAACGGCUUACCAAGGCAACGAUGCGUAGCCGACGGGAGAGGGUGGUAGGCCACACUGGAGCUGAGACGCGGUCCAGACUCCUACGGGAGGCAGCAGUAGGGAAUCUGACGCAAUGGGCGGAAGCAUGACGGAGCAACGCCGCGUGAGUGAUGAAGGUCUUCGGAUCGUAAAACUCUGUUAUUAGGGAAGAACAAAUGUGUAAGUAACUAUGCACGUCUUGACGGUACCUAAUCAGAAAGCAACGGCUAACUACGUG